UGAAUUUAUGUAUUAUUUUGUUUAUGGAUUUGAUGAUUUGUGAUUUUUGUUUGCAGAAGAAGGAAAAUAUUACUCCGAUUGGCUUGAAGAUCGCGGUAAUUUCAACUCCGUGCCUUUUUGCUUUUCAACUCCUCACCCAUUGCGACAAGCAAAUCAUCGGCAACUACGUUCAUGACGAAUGGAUUAUUGGUGAAAUAUCUCUAUCAAGUGCAACAUGAGUCUAUGGAGUUUGUUGGCACAACUGUUGAAAGUUUAGCUACAGGUUAUUCAUUAAGUGUUCUAUGAUAUUCAUUGCGUAAACUUACAAUGAAUAUUUGAGGAGCAUAGGAAGUUAUUACGGACAAGUUAUGGUUGGAUUCUCUGAUUCUAGUAAAGAUGCUGGGCAGGCGUUUCACUGCUGCUUCGGAACUUUACAAAACCCAACCAAUCCCAACCACCUGGCUAUGUAAUGGGUAUCCUUCAGCCAACUGAGCAAGGAGAAAUAGUAUCGGAAAAGUUUGGGCUACCAUAGACAGGCUGACAGUGGUCAGACAGUUGGAGAUAUACAUAACAGCUAUUUUGCUUGUAACCCUAUGUCCUCCACACUCUUCCUGAGAAGAACAAUGCAAAAAUCUCAUUGAGGAGAUCUCAAAAAUCAACUGCCAGAAUUAUUGAAGUGUUGUCUAUGAAUUAAACUCUCAAACUAUUAAUCUUUUUGUAAUACAAUGAUAAACUAGCUAAUAUUAUGAUAAAAAAAUUGAAAUGUAAGGGACGUAACAUGAUUUAAAAAAUGAAAUCUAGGUACGAAAUGUUUGAAUUAAUAUGU